GACGAACGCUGGCGGCGUGCUUAACACAUGCAAGUCGAACGGAAAGGCCCUGCUUUUGUGGGGUGCUCGAGUGGCGAACGGGUGAGUAACACGUGAGUAACCUGCCCUUGACUUUGGGAUAAAUUCAGGAAACUGGGGCUAAUACCGGAUAGGAGCUCCUGCUGCAUGGUGGGGGUUGGAAAGUUUCGGCGGUUGGGGAUGGACUCGCGGCUUAUCAGCUUGUUGGUGGGGUAGUGGCUUACCAAGGCUUUGACGGGUAGCCGGCCUGGGAGGGUGACCGGCCACAUUGGGACUGAGGUACGGCCCAGACUCCUACGGGAGGCAGCAGUGGGGAAUAUUGCACAAUGGGCGGAAGCCUGAUGCAGCAACGCCGCGUGCGGGAUGACGGCCUUCGGGUUGUAAACCGCUUUCGCCUGUGACGAAGCGUGAGUGACGGUAAUGGGUAAAGAAGCACCGGCUAACUACGUG
rnacentral:rRNA from 1 species